GACGAACGCUGGCGGCGUGCCUAAUACAUGCAAGUCGAACGAGUGGCGGACGGGUGAGUAACAUGUGGGAACCUACCCCUCAGAGGGGGAUAACACUUGGAAACAGGUGCUAAUACCGCAUACUGAUGGAUGGACCCGCGGUGCAUUAGCUUGUGGGGGAGGUAAAGGCUCACCUAGGCGACGAUCCCUAGCUGGUCUGAGAGGAUGACCAGCCACACUGGAACUGAGACACGGUCCAGACUCCUACGGGAGGCAGCAGUGGGGAAUAUUGCACAAUGGGCGCAAGCCUGAUGCAGCCAUGCCGCGUGUAUGAAGAAGGCCUUCGGGUUGUAAAGUACUUUCAGCGGGGAGGCGUUACCCGCAGAAGAAGCACCGGCUAACUCCGUGCCAGCAGCCGCGGUAAUAC
rnacentral:rRNA from 1 species